rnacentral:rRNA from 1 species
AGUGAACGCUGGCGGUAGGCCUAACACAUGCAAGUCGAACGGCAGCACAGUAAGAGCUUGCUCUUACGGGUGGCGAGUGGCGGACGGGUGAGGAAUACAUCGGAAUCUACUUUUUCGUGGGGGAUAACGUAGGGAAACUUACGCUAAUACCGCAUACGACCUACGGGUGAAAGCAGGGGAUCUUCGGACCUUGCGCGAUUGAAUGAGCCGAUGUCGGAUUAGCUAGUUGGCGGGGUAAAGGCCCACCAAGGCGACGAUCCGUAGCUGGUCUGAGAGGAUGAUCAGCCACACUGGAACUGAGACACGGUCCAGACUCCUACGGGAGGGAGCAGUGGGGAAUAUUGGGCAAUGGGCGCAAGCCUGGUCCAGCCAUACCGCGUGGGUGAAGAAGACCUUCGGGUUGUAAAGCCCUUUUGUUGGGAAAGAAAAGCAGCAGGUUAAUACCCCGCUGUUCUGACGGUACCCAAAGAAUAAGCACCGGCUAACUUCGUG